UACGUAGGGUGCAAGCGUUAAUCGGAAUUACUGGGCGUAAAGCGUGCGCAGGCGGUGAUGUAAGACAGUUGUGAAAUCCCCGGGCUCAACCUGGGAACUGCAUCUAUGACUGCAUCGCUGGAGUGCGGCAGAGGGGGAUGGAAUUCCGCGUGUAGCAGUGAAAUGCGUAGAUAUGCGGAGGAACACCGAUGGCGAAGGCAAUCCCCUGGGCCUGCACUGACGCUCAUGCACGAAAGCGUGGGGAGCAAACAGG
rnacentral:rRNA from 1 species